AUUGAACGCUGGCGGCAGGCCUAACACAUGCAAGUCGAGCGAGCGGCGGACGGGUGAGUAAUGUAUGGGGACUGACCGAUAGAGGGGGAUAACUACUGGAAACGGUAGCUAAUACCGCAUACUAUCGGAUAACCCAUAUGGGAUUAGCUAGUUGGUGAGGUAAUGGCGCACCAAGGCGACGAUCCCUAGCUGGUCUGAGAGGAUGAUGAGCCACACUGGGAUUGGUACACGGCCCAGACUCCGACGGAGGCAGCAGUGGGGAAUAUUGCACAAUGUGCGAAAGCCUGAUGCAGCCAUGCCGCGGGUAUGAAGAAGGCCAUAGGGUUGUAAAGUACUUUCAGUCGGGAGGCGUUACCGACAGAAGAAGCACCGGCUAACUCCGUGCCAGCCGCCGCGGUAAUUC
rnacentral:rRNA from 1 species